rnacentral:rRNA from 1 species
AGUGAACGCUGGCGGUAGGCCUAACACAUGCAAGUCGAACGGCAGCACAGUAAGAGCUUGCUCUUACGGGUGGCGAGUGGCGGACGGGUGAGGAAUACAUCGGACUCUACUUUUUCGUGGGGGAUAACGUAGGGAAACUUACGCUAAUACAGCAUACGACCUGCGGGUGAAAGCAGGGGAUCUUCGGACCUUGCGCGAUUGAAUGAGCCGAUGUCGGAUUAGCUAGUUGGCGGGGUAAAGGCCCACCAAGGCGACGAUCCGUAGCUGGUCUGAGAGGAUGAUCAGCCACACUGGAACUGAGACACGGUCCAGACUCCUACGGGAGGCAGCAGUGGGGAAUAUUGGACAAUGGGCGCAAGCCUGAUCCAGCCAUACCGAGUGGGUGAAGAAGGCCUUCGGGUUGUAAAGCCCUUUUGUUGGGAAAGAAAAGCAGCAGGUUAAUACCCCGCUGUUCUGACGGUACCCAAAGAAUAAGCACCGGCUAACUUCGUG